GGACCUUGGGGACACCCCCUUGUCCUUCCCUUGGGGACCCCCAGGCCACCCUGACAUCCUCUGUUCUGUUUUGGGUCAGCACAGUGUCCCUGAUGUACCCGCAGUGUCCAAAACAGGAUCCCAGUGUCCCUUAGUGUCCCCAGCAGGAUAUUGGGAGACAUUUGGGCCCUGUUGGGGACAUGGGGGGGGACAUCAAGGCCUCUUGGGGACAUUGGAGGGAUAUUUGGGCUCUGUUGGGUGCCCUGAGGGAAUGCUGGGGAUAUUGGGCUCCUGUUGGGGACAUCAGGGAAGACAUUGAGUCCCUGUUGGGGACACUGAGGGGAUACUGGGGGUGUGUUGGGGGACAACAUGGCCCUGUUGGGGACAUUGAGGGGACAUUGGGGUCCUGUUGGAGACAUCAGGGGACAUUGGGCCAUGUGGGGACCCUGAGGAGACAUCGGGGUGCUGUGGGGGCCAUCAGGGGGAUGGCACACUGCAGGUGGGGGGGGGGACAGGGCCGGGGUUGUGACAUCACCUCUUCCUGUUUACUACCAGCUGUGCCACAGGCUUGCAUGUCACCCGAGUGUCCCCCGGCCGUGUCCCUGCCCUGUCCCUUGAGGCCAUGGAGCCCCGUGAGCUGCUGGAAGCGCUGGUGGACGUGGUGGCCACCCUGGGUGAGCUGGCAGCCACCAUCGCUGGGCCGGAUAGGGACGUGAGGCUGGGCAUGUUCCCAGGAUCCCUGCACAAGGCCCUGGACCCCUUCAUCAGUGACCUCCAGGACACCCUGGGCCACCACGGUCACACCUCCCUGGGCCAGGCCCUGGCUGCCUUUAGGGCCAACCUGGGGGCCACCUGGGCCCAUGUGACAGCUGCAGCCAGUGCCUGGCAGGGCUCGGUGGCCAAGCUUGAGGACAGCUGGGCCCAGCUGGCCAAAAAGGCCACCGAGCUCCGCAACGCCUGCAGGGACACGGCCACCAGGGAGGCCACCACUGCGGCCACCGCCAACACUCGGGCCAGGGACCUGCAGGGCACGGCCACCCGCUGGGAGCCAUCUCUGCACAACCUGGUGGCUGAGGCCUGGCAGCUGCCGCUGGCCCUGGACAAAAAGGAGGUGGCCUCAGUGGUGGCCGUGCAUACGGCCCGGAUGGCAGCAGCCAACAAUGAGGUGGAAGCAGCCACCAAGGCCAAGGAAGAGGCCAUAGUGGCCACCAGCGAGGCAGAGGCAGCCACCAGGAGGGGAAAGAAGGCAAAAGCAGCCCUGGGGCUUCUGCAGCGCUUGGUGGCCACGUGUGACAGAGCCAUGGCGUACCCCCGGGAGCUGCAGCGCCAGCUCAGGCACAUCGAGGCCACCCUGAAGGGGACAAAUCAGGCAUCCCCUGAUGUCCCCGAGGCCUUGGUGGCUGCGGUGGCCAAUGCCGAGCUGCUGUGGGAGGCCCGUGCCCGCCUGGCCACACGUCACCUAGUGGGGACACUUGAGGACAUCCGCUUGCUUGUCUCAAGUCACCCUGGUGACACUGGUGGCCCCAGUGGCCAUGCGGUGGCUGAGCAGUGCCAAAAAGCCAUCGAGGACAUCCCAAUGCUGCUGUGGGGACAGUGAUGUCACCACUGUGAUGUCAUCAAGGGUGGUGAAAUCACUGGGGACAUCCCUGGAGUCACCUGUCCACUCCCUCCUCCCUGCCAGAGAUUUGAGACAAAUUUGGGGAAUUUUCUGGGAAUUUUCAUUAAAAUUGCCCUAAAUCCUGAUGGGAAUUCCUGGAGUGAUGUCACCGGGGACACUCUGAGGACACUCUGGGGCCACUCAGGGCCACUCAGUGGCAGGUUGGGGGGGUGAAUGAGGCAGCUUUCCACCAUGGGUACAGCAGAUCAUUUCUCAAGCCUCCUCAAAACCCUUCAGGUUCCUUUCCCUCUGUGGGCAAUUUCACCUCAAAUGCCCAAUUUCCCUGCAUUGGUGACAGAUUGGGCCUCAGUUGUUCAAUUGCCCUUUUCCCUUUUAGGGCCUCUCCCCCAGGAGCUCUGGUCCCAUUGUCCUCCCCCUGCUCCCGUUUGCCGUGCCCUGACAGGGUCACUUCCCUCUGGGGGUGGGUCCUUGCACACUGGUUCCCCUCAGCAGUAGUGGAUGCCAUUAUCUUUGCUUUCCCCUUGGCUUUCUCCUCAUCCCUCCCUCCGUACAGUGACCUUCUGGGCUUCUUUUAUCAGGUCAUUCAAUCCUUUAUCCUGCCAUUCCCCCAGUCUUUCCAGCUUUUCCUUAUAUCCAGCCAAGCUUGAGUGACAAAGGUUAUCUUCAAUAAAGCUUGUCCAGCUAUUUUAUCA
rnacentral:lncRNA from 1 species